GUUCGGAUUGCAGCCUGCAACUCGGCUGCAUGAAGCUGGAAUCGCUAGUAAUCGCGGAUCAGAAUGCCGCGGUGAAUACGUUCCCGGGUCUUGUACACACCGCCCGUCACACCAUGGGAGUCGGGAAUGCCCGAAGUCAGUGACCCAACCGAAAGGGGGGAGCUGCCGAAGGCAGGCCUGGUAACUGGGGUGAAGUCGUAACAAGGUACC
rnacentral:rRNA from 1 species